CUCCACCCAGCCCACAGCCAUCAGAACGUGGGGCAGGCCUGGGUGAUGAUCACACUUUGAGGGGCCCGGGGGGCGCCCAGAUGUGACACCCAGCAAUCAGCCUGUGCUACAACGUGUUCCGGGGAGGGGACAAGGUGACCGUGUCCUAUGUCAAUGGGGCUGAGGGCUCCACGUGGACCCGGUGAUGAGGUGGCUGAUGACCAGGCUGUGUGUCCUCCUUCUGCUGUCCUGGCUGAGUGUUGCAUGCGGGAGCAGCCAGUGCUGUUUUCAGGACCUGCCGUAUCAGGACACACACUCAGGCAUUACCUCGGGCCCCAGGGACCUGAGCUGCUACCGAGUCCUCAGCGCUGGUCAUUAUGAGUGUUCCUGGCGAUAUGAGGGACCGAAGGACGGGGUCAGCCACUUUCUGAG